rnacentral:rRNA from 1 species
UACCCGCAGCACAAGUGGUGUCCACGAUUAUAUGGGCUUAAAGCGCUCGUAGCUGGCUGAUGCCGUCCCAUGUGAAAUAUUGGCGCUCAACGUCAAUGCGGGCAUGGGAUACCCAUCAGCUUGGGAGCGGGUGAGGUCAGGGGUACUUAUGGGGGAGGGGUAAAAUCCUGUAAUCCUAUAAGGACCAACGGUGGCGAAGGCGCCUGACCAGAACGCAUCCGACAGUGAGGAGCGAAGGCUAGGAGAACGAAUCGGAUCAGAUACCCGAGUAGCCCUAGCAGUAAAUUAUGCAGACUCUGGUGUUGCCGAUGUCUUGAAUAUCGGCAGUACCGUAGCGAAAGUGUUAAGUCUGCCGCCUGGGGAGUACGGCCGCAAGGUUGAAACUUAAAGCAAUUGGCGGGGGAGCACACAAGGGGUGGAUGCUGCGGUUUAAUUGAACCCAACGUCGGAAAUCUUACCGGGAGCGACGGCAGUGUGAAGGCCAGACUGAAGAUCUUGCCUGACGAGCCGAGAGGUAGCGCAUGGCGACCGUCAGCUCGUGGUGUGAACUGUCCGGUUAAGUCCGGGAACGAGCGAGACCCUCAUUGACAGUUGCCACUGUUUCAGUGAUGAAGCAAGCACUCUGUCGAGACCGCCUCUGUUUAAAGAGGAGGAAGGAGAGGGCGACGAUACGUCAGUAUGCUCUGAAUCUUCCGGGCUACACGCGGCAUACAAAGGUUGGCACAAUGGGAUGCAACUCCGAAAGGAGGAGCCAAUCCCCUAAAACCAUCCUUAGUUUGGAUUGAGGGCUGAAACUCGCCCUCAUGAAAAUGGAAUCCCUAGUAAUCGCAUGUCACUAUCGUGCGGUGAAUCUGUCCCAGCUCCU